CGAGAAAGACAAGCUCCCAGAAGGGUUGCAGGUGCAGGCUGCAAGGAAAGAAACACAUAAUCACCUCCGUUAGUGCCACUGCAGGAAUGAGCCCUACACUGACUUUUGGUGUGAAUUUGAAAUAAUCAUUGCACUCAACUAUCGGGGGAACAAACUGCAGAAGACCAGCUUCAGAAUCCAAUUAAUACUUAGCAAACCAGCUGUUUCUGAGGGGCAGAUCGUUAUCCUCAGGUGGGUUUAUAUGGACUUCAUGUUUUUAUGCCCUAAAAAUAUGAAUCGAAUGACCGGCAGGGGAUUUUGAUGACAUUCCCUUUUUCCCCUGUUUAAAAGGCACUGGUUUACCUGCCCAGCUUGAGAAUGCUGUUAUCAACUGGUCUAUACAACGCUUCUGCUUCUGAGAUAUCUGAACAGAUUCAUCCUUGGCUGCACAUUGCUAUUAAGACACCAAAUACAAGUAACGCAUUUAUGCCAAUAUGAAGCUGGCUAGCAACCUCAGGAGGAGGCCAGACUGAGUGCUUGCAAGAGGAUAAGCAUUGCCUGCUAAGUGUGCCCAGGGAAGUUUGAAAAAGGCUCAUUACCAUCCUUGGAAACUUUUAACCAAAUGAAAUUUCUUUGGAAACUCAUGCACAGGCAGUAUUUGAAGAAAAGAACUUUUAAUUCAGCAAAGGAUAGGAUGAGUGAGCUAGUGACUUCACACAGCUCCUCUACAUCAGGAACAAGGAAACAUGGAACACUGAAAAAACAAACCAAAGCACAGCAAGGAGGACAUCUUCCGGGCAGUGAUGCAAUCCUCUGAGGCAGAAAAAUGAGAAUGUAGGGAAUGGAGAGAAAUGGAAAGGUGGGGCAGAAAGAAGAAUCAGGAGCUCAUACAAAAGGCCCGGGAGUGGAUGAUAAAAGUCAUGGAGGUGCAAACAGAGAUGCUGAAGUCCCUAAUCAUGCUACUGUCAGAAUACAUGUGCGCUCACCCUCCCCACCACCCACGGCAGCCAAUUCAGAACUGUGUUCCAUGACCUCCCCAAACUCCGCCCAGCCAUUUAUUGCAAAUUCCUGGAACAUCUCGAUACCCCGUUGACUCCACCCCUUCAGACAGCUUCCAAAAUGAUAGCUGGACUUAUGGGCAGCUAUGAGAGCCUACACUGGCCUGCACUGCUAUCUCCC